AUAUGGGGGGAUGCACGGUGAAGCCUCAGCUGCUGCUCCUGGCGCUCGUCCUCCACCCCUGGAAUCCCUGUCUGGGUGCGGACUCGGAGAAGCCCUCGAGCAUCCCCACAGAUAAAUUAUUAGUCAUAACUGUAGCAACAAAAGAAAGUGAUGGAUUCCAUCGAUUUAUGCAGUCAGCCAAAUAUUUCAAUUAUACUGUGAAGAAAGAAGGAUCUGUCAGCCAAGUCUUUUCUACAAAUAAGAGGAGAACAAGGAGAUACCUAGGUCCUUGGUCAAGGAGAAGAAUGGAGAGGUGGUGAUGGAAUUAAUAGUAUUGGAGGGGGCCAGAAAGUGAGAUUAAUGAAAGAAGUCAUGGAACACUAUGCUGAUCAAGAUGAUCUGGUUGUCAUGUUUACUGAAUGCUUUGAUGUCAUAUUUGCUGGUGGUCCAGAAGAAGUUCUAAAAAAAUUCCAAAAGGCAAACCACAAAGUGGUCUUUGCAGCAGAUGGAAUUUUGUGGCCAGAUAAAAGACUAGCAGACAAGUAUCCUGUUGUGCACAUUGGGAAACGCU
rnacentral:lncRNA from 1 species